rnacentral:rRNA from 1 species
CCUACGGGUGGCAGCAGUGGGGAAUAUUGCACAAUGGGGGAAACCCUGAUGCAGCGACGCCGCGUGAGUGAGGAAGUAUUUCGGUAUGUAAAGCUCUAUCAGCAGGGAAGAAAAUGACGGUACCUGACUAAGAAGCCCCGGCUAACUACGUGCCAGCAGCCGCGGUAAUACGUAGGGGGCAAGCGUUAUCCGGAUUUACUGGGUGUAAAGGGAGCGUAGACGGUUAAUCAAGUCAGAAGUGAAAACCCAGGGCUCAACCUUGGGACUGCUUUUGAAACUGAGUAGCUGGAGUGCAGGAGAGGUAAGCGGAAUUCCUAGUGUAGCGGUGAAAUGCGUAGAUAUUAGGAGGAACACCAGUGGCGAAGGCGGCUUACUGGACUGUAACUGACGUUGAGGCUCGAAAGCGUGGGGAGCAAACAGGAUUAGAUACCCGGGUAGUC